rnacentral:lncRNA from 1 species
CUGUCACAAUAUAUUUGCAUAACAUUUGUCUCUUCUCAACCGUUUCCAACAAUAAUCUUUAUGGUACGUAAUAUUUUGGUUCCCAGUAUACAUACUGAGAGACAGGACCUCAGAGAAACUGACAUUCAAGGUCAUGAUUAUUAAGUGGAGAGUACAAUUUAGCUAGUGAUUCUGGACUUCUAACUAGUACACAAUAUGAGUGCUGAUGUGUGGUAAGUCUGAAUAAUACUUUAGUCUAUCAGAAGGGCACUUAAUUUUAAAAGGUAAAAACCAGUAAGUAGCAGCCUGCUUACGCACAUGUUUAAAUGAGUGACUCAUUUCUUUUCCUCAAGCAAGCAUAACUAAAAGUAUUAGCCAUCAGCCACUGAGAAGUCUCAGAAGUCAGAGUGGAAGCAACUGGAAGCAGAGGCACCAAACACUGGAACAUGUGAGGGAGCCUGAAGAGGAGCGGGAGGAAGGUCCCUCCAGAAGCUAACAGGAAAAUGGCCAGGGCUAGGCUUCAAGAUCUUUCCAAGACCCAGAAAGGAAACCCAAAUGUAUCCACUUUACGCAUUCAAAGCCUUGACUUUCUGAGCUAAUCUUUCAUAAAUGGCUCUUAAGGGAGGGUCUCCUUCCUUCCUUGGGUCUCACCCAGAGGUUGCCCCUUUGCAAUCCACAUUGAUGAAGGACAUCUUCCCUGCUGGAGGACACGUUCCUGCAGGAGAUUCUUUGAAGAGCAAACACCACCCUCCAGCCUUGAAAUGCUGGCGCGGCUUCACUGUGUCUCUAAAUCAAGCUUUGUCCACCCAGACAGGAAGACUCCACCCUGUUGUGACAGGCACAAUGUGGAAUUUGUGCUUCAGUGAGCUUCAGAUGAUUUUCAACCCCACACCUUGGAUGUGUUUUUGAAACAAUGUGGGA